AUAUAUAUUCCCACUCAUCUCUAUAAAUUCAGCCUUUUCCAAGCUUAUGACAAAACCAGCGCCCCCAUGAAAAUGAACUCUCACACACGCCCUCUCUCUCUCUCUCUCUCUGGCUUUCUCUUCCCAGAAAGGGAUUACUUUGCUGCUCUUCUUCCUUAAAUUUUUAUCAUUACACAUACAUAUCCAGAUGGAUUAAUAUAUACAAGGUGCAUGCAGUACUUCACGCCAUCUAGAAAUCUCAACAUAUGCUAACUGCUGCUAUAUAUAUAUAUAUAUAUAUGUAUAUGGUGGGUGAGUAGAAUCCAUGCUAUCCUUGUCAUGCGAGCAGCCCUUUCUUGGGUUAUCCUUUGUUUCGUUGUCUGUUCGACCUUGUUCCUUUUACACACACACAUAUACAUAUACCUAGGACUAGCAGAAUCUUCAUCACGAUUCACGGUCACCCAUAUGAUCAUAUACAAACCCUAACUGUAAAAUUAAUUAAUUCAACCUCCUUUACAAAACAGGGACCAACAACCACUUUCUUUUCUUUAUCGAUCAGUAGCCAGAUUUGUUUUAUGUAUCGAUCGAUCAGCUUAUUGUUAAAGAAUUAAUUUGGUUUUGCUUUCUCCCAUGCAUACAUUUAUCCGGUCGCUCCCUCCCUCCCAAUAUCUGUGAAUUAUACCUCGAAUGAUGUGCUAGCUCCACAAUUACUCCAUGAAAUCUGUGCUGCAACAAACUAUAGCUAAUCAUUUUUACAUUAAAUGCAUGAAUCAAUAUGCAUGUGUCAAUGUGUAUUUUAUGUGUUGCCUGUUUGGUAGGUGCGCAGCUUUGCACGUGACUUUCAGGUGCACUUGAAACGGCUAGAAAUUAAUUAGAUUGAUGUAAGAUGUGGGAAACUUAAUUAUAACCCUAGUCGUAAUAUACACUUACCCUAUAAUCAACCAUCAUAUGGAUUAAUUCCUGUUUGAGUUGGAAUAGAUUGGUUCCCUAAUCUCAAAUUCUCUCCAAACACUAAUCUACUUUUUGAAUUCCAGUAUUUCCUUAUUAGAGGAGAAAUAUUAUAGCAUCAAGGCUUAGAUAGAUGAUAAUAUUAGGCUAAUCUUUUCCCAGAUUUCUCGGAGUAUAUAUGUACCCUAGUCAAGAAGUGUGGUUGGACCUGGAGCCUGGUGCUAGUAGGUACGUACUAGUAGAGACUAGAGAGAGUAUAAAGGUUUCUUCCCGAUUCCUUUAAGCUUUUUUGAAUUUAAGGAUUGCUAAGCUAAUUACUUUAGAUACGGAUAAUGGUCUUCCUAAAUUAUAAUCCACAAAAACUUUUGCAAUCCAUGAUAAUAAGAAGUGCUAGAUUCACUAAAUUUUGUUUAUAUAAAGAUAUUUAUACAGAAAUUCUCCUGUGCGGACAUCCGGAUGUUGUGGAUUUCAUUAAUUUGGUGACCCUUGUUGGUGAUCCUAGCAUUAUUCGUGGGGAGAACAAUUCUGAAAGAAAAGACUGUAUAUUUGACUAAUCGAAGGGCAGGUUGUUGCUCAUGAUGUGCUUACGUAGGCAUCUCCUUUCUGUUGUUUAUUUGAUAAAGUUUCCUUGUCCUCGCAAGGUAGCUGUAUAAGGACAUGGAUUUAUAUAUACUCAACUCUAUAUAACAUUAUACAUGUGCAGCUUGGUAGAUUAUUAUAAGAUUAGAGUGUGCAUAAAAUUAUAAGAUUAUAACAUUUGUAGCUUAAUUUAGGUGGUUUUUGUUCUCAUCUACGUACAAUGUUAAUGCAGUCACUUUCUAUAUGUACAAUUAGACCCUACGUGUCUCCUACAAUAAUGUACAUUUUAAAGGGUAACGUGGGUCUCAGUAUGCCUACUCUCACAUGUUGAAUGAGAGUCUGAGAGAAGUGAAUGAGUGGAGGUAGGAAAACCACACAAUACGUAAGUUUUUUAGAAUUCAUUUGAAAGAUAUAUGGACGGAUCGAGGUCGAUCUGACAAUGAAUGUGAGGUGUAUGCUUAAGGGACUGCUCGCUUGACAAGGCUUUGCAUGGAAUUUGACACCCCAACCCCAACCCCAAUCCUAACCCCCCAGUUGAUCUGAUCGAGCUCUCCCAGCCCAUGUGUUUCCAUGGUCCACACUCCAACACCCACUAUUGUCUACAUCCAACAAAGUUCCAAACCAAGAAGCUUACUACUUUCCUGGUCUGAUCUCUCUCUCUCUCUCUCUCUCUCUCUCUCUCUCUCUCUCUCUCUCUCUCUCUCUCUCUGUGUGCGUUCUUUAUUGUUUUGUUAAUUAACUACUGAAUUAUGCAAUAUAGCAUUGCUCACAUGUUUCAUAUUUGAGCUUUCCAAUUAAUAUUAGUUGCUUUGGAGAAAGAUGUCAUUAAGAAUUGCAAUUUAAUUAGGUGCAAAUCUAUAGAUGUCAUGUCAGUAAGUUUCACUUUAACACUUGAGCGAGUGUGAAAAUCAUUUCUCUUCAUGAAUGAUAUAUAGACUAAAAUGUUCCAAUGCAAUUGAAAUUAGUACAAAACAUAAUUAGAAUAAAUUUAAUUAUACAUAUGCAUCGGAAAAAGAAAAGAAUUCAAUCAUUAAAGUUAAGGAGAUUGAUAUGUUUUUGUCCCUUGUCUUAAUUUUUGUGUUUUUAAUUAGGUCAAUAGUAAUUCAUCUCUUUCUUAAAGCUAGCGACAUACUAUAGCAUAAUGAAUCGUUGAUUUCAGUAUAUAUAGCAUAAUGAAUUGUUGAUUUGUUUGCAAUUACCAAAGCAAAGCUCCUGGCAUGAAUUACAAGCAAUCAGGUCAGCUUGGAAGAGCUUUGAAGAGCUAGCAAGCAACUCAUGAUCAAACCACAAAAAUCUCCAGCUGCCUACUGUUCAUCGAUAGCUACCAAAACCCUCUGUUGCGCCCUGUGAUGACAACACAUGUACUAAUAAAUUUCUGUUAUAAUCU